GCAGAUCCAUGUCCGAGCCUCCACCGUUGUAAUCUGGUAUCCCAUUCUCAUCCUUGUCAGACCUUUGUCUUCCCAAAAUCAAAUUUGUCCUGAACCAAAACAGAAAGAAUUCGAUUCAUUUACUUUUAGCAACAUGUAACAGAAAGCCUACUAAAUCUUCCUUUGGUGGAAUCUGCACUUUCAUCUACCCAGAAAGGAACAAUUUUGCACAAUAAAGAACACAGACGUCAAGGACUAAUAUAAAUGAAGUGAGAUCUUCGUUCCAAAAAUAAGUGAAAUUAACAUGUCAUACAUAUCUGCUCCUUAGUAUAAGUAACUACUCCUACUUAAUGCCCAACAGUACAGUCUUAGAAAAAUGAAGGGAAAAGGGAUAAGUUUAGAACUGAAGUACGCUUGAAGCCCAACAGUACAGUAUGUCUGAAGCCAACAAUCCAAUGACCCUGCAUAAGAAAUAAUUAUUGAAUAUUUUUCUGACCUGAUGCAGGGUCAUGGGGUUGUUGGUGGCUGGAAGACGGC
rnacentral:lncRNA from 1 species